AACCAUAGAAACCUGCGGAGUACCUGCGGAAGGAUCAUUAAAAAGAGUGUGUACCCCCCUGUAAAAUGGGUGGGUUACCUCCCGUCCUUUGUUGACCUCUUAGGAGGUUAUUUUGAACUUUUCUGCUUCGGUGGGGUUAAACCUACCGGAACACCCUCAAAUUCUGAUCAUUUAAAAAUUGUUCAGUCCGAUUUUUGUUAAUAAAAACAAAAAACUUUUAACAACGGAUCUCAGAUCGGA
rnacentral:misc_RNA from 1 species